rnacentral:rRNA from 1 species
UACGGAGGGUGCAAGCGUUAAUCGGAAUUACUGGGCGUAAAGCGCACGCAGGCGGUCUGUCAAGUCGGAUGUGAAAUCCCCGGGCUCAACCUGGGAACUGCAUUCGAAACUGGCAGGCUAGAGUCUUGUAGAGGGGGGUAGAAUUCCAGGGGUAGCGGUGAAAUGCGUAGAGAUCUGGAGGAAAACCGGUGGCGAAGGCGGCCCCCUGGACAAAGACUGACGCUCAGGUGCGAAAGCGUGGGGAGCAAACAGGAUUAGAUACCCUGGUAGUCCACGCCGUAAACGAUGUCGAUUUGGAGGUUGUGCCCUUGCGGCGUUGCUUCCGGAGCUAACGCGUUAACUCGCCCGCCUGGGGAGUACGGCCGCAAGGUUAAA